AAUGUGAGGAUGCAGAAGGAGCCAGGUGUGGACAGAGCUGAAGGACAAGAGCUCCUCCUCCAAAGCUGCUGGUUGUCCAGGCUGGUGUGGAACCGCUUCCUGCUUCUCAAGAGACAGAAGGGAUCAGCUGUCUGACAUGUUAAGGCUUUUCCCAAAGCUCUGACGCACUUACGUUACAUCCUGAAGAAACAGUAAACAAGAAGACAGAACCAGCACCUGGACAAACCCGGCCCCAGCCCCCCAGCUGGCUGCAGGCACUGUGGAGAACCCCUCGCUGCCUCAGGCUCUGACCCCGAGGCAGGGAGCCCGUGGCUGCGAGCUGGGGACCAACAGGAAAGCUGGGGGUGCUCGCUGUGCAGCAGCUUUGCCGUGGGGUAAGUAAAUUGCAGCCCAGGGCACACGGACCUCCUCUGGGACCUCACACUCUCUUUUCAGUGAGUUUUCUCCAAACUGUGUAAGCGUGGGGCUCCCCAAAGUUGCAUCUGUCCGGGCUUCUUAACAUUGCUAUUUUUCAAGCCAAACUUGCUGAAGAACAACUAAAUGACAUCACAGGUGCAAGAAUUUGAAUUUAAUAGAGAUUCGUGCCAGGCAGCAGGCCCAUAAGAUCACCAGUGCGCUCUCCAAGUCUUAGGAUAGGAGGGGCUGUCUUUCUGACGCAGAGUGACACCCUGAAAUUAAGUGGAACCCUUGCGGGGCCUUUGGGAGAUUACUGGGCAGCAACUCAGUGACUGGGACAUCGCACAAGCUCACCUGCCCAUCACCCCGGGAGGGUCACUGCACCCACAAAGGCGAGCCAGGGCUGUUUGGAGAGUUUGCUGGUUCUUUCUUCUGGGGAAACCACAUUGUGCUGAGCGGCUUUACUGCAAGAACCUGGGACUCGGUAGAGCAUCAGGAUGCCAUUUGAUCUGCUCUCCUAAGCAGGAAGCAAGCUCCCGAAAGCCUGCCCAGGUCCGGCCAGCCGUGCAAAAGGGUCUGAACACUGCCCUGUGACUGCACCCUAGGUGCAGAAGCCUCGAGGGAUAGAGGCACAGAAAGGGCCAAAGGAGAAGCAGCAUCCAUCCUAAAGGACAGCCGAGGGGCCAUGCAGCGCCGGUGGAGGGGGACAGCUAGGUGGCCGGUGCCUUCUGCAUCUGCAGCCCUGAUAAAGCAGCUAAGAAUGAGAACCACACUUACUUCAUUUUUAAAAUAAAAUCAAAUU